UUUAUUCUUAAUCUGCAGUGAUUAAAGAACCUGCAGUUUCUGACAAUCAGCCCAAAGUACCAACUUUAGUCUGACUCCAGCAAAAUGAAGACACCCAAAUCAAAGAAGAAAAUUCAAGGAGUAAUUCAAAUUUUGUCCAUGAAAAUUCCCACCAGAAAUUGGGUGCAAGUUCUGUUGAUUUUUUACUUACCUGUCUGAUAGAUGUAAUAUUUGGGAGCCUUCCAGCACUCUUUUAGAAAAUGCACACCAAAUUGCUUCUCCUUUGACCAACCAUCUUGUGUCUUCCAGUGUGGCAUAGAGGAGUAGCAUAGGAGAAAGGGGAGUAAAAUUCUUCAUGACUGCUCCUCAGUAAAAGUGACUGGAGCCAUUGCAAAUGGUGGUGUUUAGGUGCUGCCCUCUGUCCUUUGCUUGGUGCUUCUGCCCAAGGAAAUUUGGAAAGGAAUGUGAGUUGCAGCUUGGAAGAUACCGUGUUACUGUUUUCUGUCCAUAAUGAAGUAGGUUGUUUGGGGCAUGACAGUCUCUAAAUUCAUCCUUCCUCAGGACCAUCGUGUAAAUCUUUGGAAUAUUUGUCAUGGAGAAUACUGGGUUUGAAUGGGCUGGAAAAAGCUGGAGAGUUGGCAGUGCCAGGUGAGGAAGGAAUUAUUAACAGAUGUUUCCAGCCCUAAGGGUCUGCAACAUUUAGGGAGCAAGGAAAAGGUGAGCAGAAUAAAACAGUCCCUGAAGCUCUCCAGCAAGUCUCUAGUUAUCUUUUACCACAUACUUAAUCCCUUUGAAGAACUAAGAUUCUGCACAGAGCUUCAUUGCCAAACUAAUUUCUUCAAGUUUGCAGUUUCUCCCUGCAUUUACAUGGAAAAGUGCAAGUGUGCUAGGCGAGGUUUUGCAACCUGCCAGGUUACUUUGGGGGGAAAAAUAAAGCUUCUGUAGCAAGCUUUUGGUGUGAGAGCUAAAGACUGAAACAUCUUAAUAGAUACAGAGACUUACCCCAGACAAGUAAGGCAUGUUUGUGCCUUGCUUCCUUCCCACAGCAGCUGCUGGAGUUUGCUUUUGUUGAGUUUGGGAUAAGUAAAUAAGGACAUCACCACUGCAGUUUGCAAAUGCCUAAAUAAAUUGUAUACUUCUCUGUUACCAUGUGUUAAACUGCAAAGGUAGUAGUAAUUUCCCUGUGUUUUUAUCUUGCCAUGAUAUUUCCUUUUAAGUGGCAAAAGAAUUAAAAAUGAUGGGCUGAUAGUCCCUUGCUGAAUUCUGUCUCAUGUGCUUUAUAGUUCCUCCUAAGGCAGUAUGAAAUUCUCUGGCUAUUUAAA